rnacentral:rRNA from 1 species
UACGGGGGGGGCAAGCGUUGUUCGGAAUUACUGGGCGUAAAGCGCGCGUAGGCGGCUUUUCAAGUCGGGCGUGAAAGCCCCGGGCUUAACCCGGGAAUGGCGCUCGAUACUGUUGAGCUAGAGUGUGGAAGGGGCUACUGGAAUUCCGUGUGUAGCGGUGAAAUGCGUAGAUAUACGGAGGAACACCGGUGGCGAAGGCGGGUCUCUGGGCCGAUACUGACGCUGAGGAGCGAAAGCGUGGGGAGCGAACAGG